UUUAGGUUUUAGGCUGAGGUUCCUCAGCACAUUAGAGACCCACUGCAUGUCAGAGCAGCAUUUGUUCAUCAUUUAACUGGAGUCUAUUCAUUAUUUCAUUCCUAUACAGUUUCUUUCAUGACAGAGGAUGAUGCGAGUUCUUGUUCUCUUUGUAAUGUUAACUGGAGUAACUCAUGCUUUCUUUACACCUGGUGAAACCAAAUGCAAUGCCACCCAGAACACAUCUCUGUGCUCUGCUCCUUAUGGGGGAAAUAUUUACAUCCAGCUUAUGACCAAUGCAAGUGGAUAUCGGAUACACUGCACAAAAAACACUACAAAUGUGUUCAAACUGAAAAAUGAAAAAGUAACAAUAGAUGAGGCAUUCAGGGACAGAAUGGACAUGUUCAUCAACAAUGGCACGCUCAAAAUCAGCAGCGUGGAGAAGAAUGAUGCAGGUCAAUACACCGUGGAGAUAUUCUCAAUUGAUGAUGGGCGCCUUCUGAGAAUCAUUAGAGUGGACCUGGAUGUGCAUGAAAACAAAUGGUCCAUCCUGAUCCCUGUCUGUGGGGCAGGGGCUGCUCUGCUGUUACUAUUACUGCUCAUAUCUGUCUGUAUCUGCAAGAAAAUGAGGCGUCGGAAAUAGUCAGGUUCAAGUAAUAAAUGAGAAUGAAAAUCUCCAAGAUGAGUUUGGAUUUUAAUGGACUGUUCUCAACAAUGGACACUGAACUUAAGACUCAAAGAACCAUUUUUUGUGUAUUUAAUUCUUAUGAAAAGAUAUUUGUUAAAUAUGUCAUUUUAAUCCAAUUUCAGUACAACAUAUGGGAUGUAUUAGUAUUUGUUGUGUAAGUGAUCUGUUUUGCUAAGAACUUAAUCAAAGACUGCUCAUCACUGUUAAUACUACAUUUUGUCAUUUUAGCUUCAGAAAAAGUGGUAAAAUCACUAAACUCAAAAUAACAUUUUCAUAAUUUGAAUACUUUUUACUGCUACUAUUAAAGAAGAUGUUAUAAAUCAGGUAGAUAAACUGCAGCUGGCAAAAGUUCCAAUAUGGAAAUAAAUUGAUUUUAUGAAUCACCA